ensembl:lncRNA
UCUCUCUCUCUCCCUGUUCUCUUCCGGUGUGGUGUCUGCUUCUGCAGGCUCUGGAUUUCCUGGUGCCUCCAUCCCAUCCUGGGGGCGGCACUCUGCCCCUGCCAGAGGCAAAGUGGGGACCGAGAAGCCCAUCUUGCAGUUCUGGGUCCUGCUCAGUAAAGUGGAAGCUUCCAGAGACGCCCAGGUGUUGAAACGGCUUUGCAGGGGGCUUUGCAGCUGCACCGGGCUGGGCAGGUGACAGGGCCCCAUGCAGAAUCCGAAUGUCAGGGAAGACCACACCGCGCCUGGAAGCCCAACACAGCCGAGAGAGAAACAGACAAUCAAGGCAUUGAAAAAGUGGAGGAGAAGCCUGGAAAAACUGGCUGGGGCCAAUGUCUAGAGGUAUGGGACUCCGGAUUCUCAUUCUGAAGGCCACAGGGAGCCAGUAACAGCUCUUGAGCAGGGCAUGGUUUGAUCCUUUUGCCAAGGAUUUGUCACCUUGGAGACAGCAGACGGACUCAGGUAAAAAUCUGGGGCUCUGCGGGGAGGGGAAGGUGGUGGGAUUUGCAGUUCUGGGAUUGACAAGAAAACAGGACAUGAGGCCAGGUAAAUAGGUAGACCAGAUGGCCCCCUCCAAAGUUCACGUUCUGUCUCUCCUGCAAUCCAGUGUUCUAGUUUCCAGGUAGGAAUUUCGUGGCAUAGGCGGCGAAGCCACUGAGGCACAGAGAAGGCCAAUCACCGCCCCAGGUCACGCAGCUAGGGUUGAGGCCUUGGAUGUAAGAUCCCUGCUGCACUCAUUUCAAGACUCCGGGUAGCAUGGGCUCCAGCUGCCUGGCCAGGCCUGCAGAUGGGGAUGAGGGCCAGCUGAUGGGGGACAGUCUUCUGGAGCCCCUCUCUGUAGAGCCAUGUGGCCCGAGGGGGAAGGGAGCCUGGUGGGCAGGGAGGAGCUGCCACAUGGAAGGAGGCUUGAUGGGAACCAUCUGGCCUGCGCUGGGAGUGUGGGCUGCAGGAGGAGGGCGGGGCAGGAGGUGGGCAGGAGGCCAUGGUGGGCUGGGCCGGCCCGCUGGUGGAUGGCGGCCGGGGCUGGGAGCGGUGGCCCAGGAGGCCCCUGCCUUCCAGACGGCUGUAGCCCAGAUGCCUUUGCAGCCGGCCUGGCCCCGUCCAACCCGCUGACCUCAUUCCCAGCGCCUCCUCCCUCCCUCGCAGGCUCCUCGCCCUGCCUGCCACGUAGACUCGGCCACAGGGGGAAGGAGAGUGGGACCCAGGUGCCCUGAGCCCAGAGCCCUGCCAGGACCUACAGAGCUGUGGGCAGCCGCUGUGACCACUUGGGGCCUCAGUUUCCUCUCCCCAAACAUGAGGUCCGGUAAAUGAGGGGACUGGGGUGAUGGGAGAAGCCAGAUGAGAAGCAGGGGUGGAGUGAGGAGCGGGGAACCAAGGGGGCUUCCUGGACUCGUGAGAGCCUUCCCCGCCUUCUGGGCUCCCGGGUGCUGUCCUCACAUCUCAGCAUCGCACUGGCUGUCGGGUGCAGAGAGCAGCACGCUGUCCCCUGUCGGGCUCCUCAGAGCCCCCAUCCUGCCCCCCGGCCCGGCGUAUCUGCCUCCCUGCCCCCCAGGUCCUGGUGUUACUGUCCUGAGGAGCUGGGGCUGUCCCUGCCGUCUGCCCAGGCGUUCCCGGCCGGUGAGUCAUCGGGAAUGUCUGCUCUGGCUGCAGUUUCCCCCCUGGCCAGGGACCCUCUCCCUCCUCGCCGGAACUCAGAGUAGAGGGUGCUGCUCCCAGGCAGGGGCUGGGGUGGGAGGAACCCAAGCCCAAGGCUGCCCUGAGGCCCGGUCCCCCACAGGCAGGAAAGGCAGAAGGGGACUGGGGCCUCCAGAGGCCAUGUCCCCAUCACAGAUAGACAGCCUGUCCUGGUGCCUGCUUCCCAGGCAGGGACACCAAGGAAAGCAGCUCGGUGAGGCCCAGACAGAGUUUGAUGUGCUCAGGCUCCCAACACCACACUGUUCGGGGCUCAGCUUUGCAGAACUGGGAGUCUGCUCAAGCCUCUUUUGGAAGGGCCCUCCCCAGUCAGCUGGGCCUGGCAGGGAAAGCUGGAGAGGCCGCCCCUCCACGGAUGAGGCAUCCUGGCUGGGGUGCGGUGUCCACGUCCACAGGAGAGGGGGGCCCUGGAUCAGUUUUUGUUUGUUUGUUUGUUUUUGAGACAGGGUCUCACUAUGUAGCCCAUGCUGGCCUUGAAAUCACUGCGUAGUCCAGGCUGGCCUCAAUAUCACAGCAAUCAUCCUGCCUCAGCCUCCUAAGUGCUGGGAUUACAGGUGUGGAGCACCAUACCCAGCUGGAUUUGUUGUUUAGAGAGCUAGGUUCAGUGCCUGAGUCGUCUACUGACUGUGAGCAUUCACAUCCCAGUACUGUGCCUCAGUUUCCCCAUCGGUAAAACAAGGGGGCUGGACAGAAAGAGUUUCCACUCUCGGAUUAAUCUAUGAUUCUGUGUCUUCCCACUGAGACCGACCCUUGCACUCACAUACACACUCACAGAUACACUCUUCACUCCUACAUUUGGGCACAAUUUUUGUUCCCUUCUGCCUGAGGGCUCCCACACCCCCACAUUGUCACCAUUGCUUCUCCUCCUGAGGUCACAGGCAGGACAAAGGUGAGCCACAGCAGAAGCUGAGAGGUUUGUGCUCCAGAGUGUCAGACCUUCAGCUCCCUCAAGGGUCCCACCUCUGCGGUUUGGGGGUGGGAGGGGCCGGGGACGGAGCAGAGAAAGUCUCGCUUGUUCCCACCCAGCUGGGCACCUGCACAAGGGUGGCCCUCGCUUUUCCUUCCCGGACAUCACUAGCUCUCCCUUCCAAAAACUCCGGUCCCCCGGACACCCAGGGACCUCCUCCACCCUCAGGCCAUCUUUGCAGCUUGGCCUGGCUCUGGCCCCAGGCUGCACCCUUCGAGGAACUUCUGCUGAGGAGCUGCUCAGAGCUCGGAAGGACCUUCCCGAGAGGAGAGGAGGAGAGAGAGAGACACAGAGAGAGGUGGAGCCAGUUUCCUGGAGUCACAGAGCUGGGAAGUAGCUGCACUGAGAUGAAAACCCAGAAAGUCUCAUGCUUCACUCAGAGACCCAGGACGGAUGCCAAGUGGACCACCCCACCCCACUGCAGAAGUGGCUGUUUGCAGGAAUGCGCUGUCUCCUCUUGGGCUCAUGCACGGGAAGGACCACAGCAUAACGUGGCUGAAACUGACCACAGGCACUAGCCGAGUGGCCAGUCCCAGCUACCCCGCCUCUGCCUCCCGUCUGCCCAGGGGCUACUGUGAGCUGACCACACCACGACACACACAGCAUCUCAUUUAUUUCAUUAAAAAAAAACUCUCCCUCCAUUUAUUUUCCUUUUCUUUUUCUCUAUUUUUCAUUAGUGUAUAUUUGUGACAUAAGAAAUGCAUUCAUCAUGGGGAAUCGGCACCUAUACAAACUCUGGUCUUAAUCCUUUUUACUCCCUUUCUCUCCCCACUCUCCUAUCUCCACCACCCUCAGACUCCCCCUCCC